UAUCAUGUUUGAGCCGUUAAGCAUAUUUUAUUUGCUUGUUCUGAUAGCUAUAAGUAUCUUAGGAACAUAGACAUCAUAAGUGAAAGACUGUAUUUCCUCACCUCCCCUGCUAAGUAUAACCAUGUAACUAAAUUCUGGCCUGUGAGAUGUAACCAGAAGUGUUUUGUGUGACUUUGAAAAAGGAUGCUUCAAGGAAGCUGAUUUGGACAGGAUGGGAAAACUUCUGUCUUCUUUCACUCUCCCUCUUUGAUAGUCUAGAACUCAGACAUCAUGUCAAGAAUUGCUCCGACAUCCUGCACCUCUGUGGGUGGGAAUCAUUUUCUGAGACAAUGGGCAGGGCGAUAGAGGAGACUAGGUUUCUGAUGGAUAUAGAGCUGUUGGGCCCAUCGGGGACCCUUCACCCCUUCCACAAUGCUUUUAUGUUAGAGGAAUCACUUUCUUGUUUAAGUCCCUAUUUUAUUUCCCAUAGAGCCACACGUUCUUUCCAUAGAAGCAAAAGUGAUCCAUUUAAGAUUUGAAUCAAGUUAUGCCACUUCUUGGCUAUGAAUCCCUUCAUGACUUUCAGUUUACCUUAGAUUUCAAUUUAUAUUUCUACCGUGGUUUAUGAAGCCCUGCUUGAUUUGUCUCCUGCCUGCCCCACUGACCCCACCCCAAUGACACUGGCCUGCCUUCUGUUCCGCUGUAGUGAUCAAUCACUCACCUCCAUGAGGCCCUACUGAAGAUGUCACCUUUUCAGAGGUUCUCUGACCUUCCACCUACAAUCGGCUCUCCCAGCUUUCAUCUGUCUCAGCACCCUGUUUAUGUCCUACAUGGCUCUGAUCACAGUCUCUACUCAUCUGGUUGAUGUAUUAAUUCAUAUUUUAUCACUGUUUCAACUAGAAUGUAAGCUCCAUAAGGCAAAGGUGGUCUCCUGUACAACACAGUGCCUGCUGCAUAGAAAGUGCUCAUUACAUUAUGGAAAACACAGCAAACAUCUCAUAUUAGGUAUUAUGUUACCAAUGAGCAGAGACUAUGAUGAAUGCGUCUUUAGAACACCCAGUGAAGUGCCACUUGCCACAAGAAGCUAA
rnacentral:lncRNA from 13 species